ensembl:lncRNA
CCCAACCUUGUGCCGUGCACUGCCACAUCCGGGCGCCUCCGUCCCCCAAAUCCUGCCCUUCCAAUGGAAUGAUUUGCAGUGGGACGAAGCGCUCGGCUGCUCCGAGCCCAACGCCUGCAAAACCAGUUGAGAUGUGCGCGUGUAGGAGCGGGUUUACAAGUACCCCAAGCACCCAGAUAAGGGAUUGCUGCUUCAGCCCCCAAUUCCCAGGGCCGGAUCGGCCUCGUGGGUGGUUUUGGGGCACUGGGGAUGAGGACCAAUCCUUUGCCUGGCGUUGGGGUGGUUGUUUCCCAGGUGUGUGGUUGGGGAGCACAGCGGGAUGCUGUCUGCUUCUCCAGGGCGCCUUUGCUCCGUGUUUCAUAUAGGGCUGGGGGGAGACACAGCAUAGUGACAUAAAUAGGGAGGGAGAAGGAGGAAAAGAAGGAAAAGGGCCGUGCGGUGGCUGUGGCACUGCAGCUGGGGACGCCUGGUCCCCAUGGGAUGCUGCUGCUUGUGUAGGGUUUUCCUGUAUGUAUAGGGUGUACGUAUGUAUGGAUCUGUGGGGCUGCUGGACCGAAUUGCAUGGCAGGUCUGUGGGUCUGCUGGGUACGGGGCUUGCUGGAUAUGAGUUGGUUGAGUAUAUAGGGUUGCUGGUUGUGUAGGGUUGCGGGUGACGCAGUUCUGUAGGGUUGCAGACUGCUGAUGGUUGCUGGUCGAGAUGUGCUGAGGAUACAGGGGUGGAAGGGAUGUAGGAGCGUUGGAUGUGUAGGGCUGCAGAUCACGUGGUGUUGGUCAGUAUGUGGGGCUGCAGGAUCUGUAGGGCCGUGGGAUAUAUGGGGCUGUGGGAUGUAUGGGCAGGGGGAUACGGGUUGUGGGAUGCACGGGGGUGUGGGGUGCACAGAGGUGUGGGUUGUACAGGGCUGGGGGAUGUAUGGGCUGGGGGGUAUAAAGGACUGCAGGAUGUAUGGAUUAUGGGAUGUACAGGGUUGUGAGAUGCACAGACUGUGGGAUGUGUGGAGCAGGGUGAUGCAUGGGCUGUGGGAUGUACAGGGCUGUGGGAUCUAUGGAUUAUGGGAUGCACACAGCUGUGGGAUGUGUGGGUUAUGGGAUGUAUGGGGCUGCGGGAUGCAUGGGGCUGUGAGAUGUAUGGGUUAUGGGAUGUAAGGGUUAUGGGAUGUAUGGAUGCACAGGGUUAUGGGAUGCACGGGUUAUGGGAUGUAAGGGUUAUGGGAUGCACGGACUGUGGAUGGAUGGAUGGCGCUGGGAGAUGCACGAGACGCACGGAGCCGUGGGGCGCUGAGGCUGCGGGC